AGAGUUUGAUCCUGGCUCAGGAUGAACGCUGGCGGCGUGCUUAACACAUGCAAGUCGAACGAAGCGCCUUGCCGGAACCCCUUCGGGGGGGAAGGCAUUGCGACUGAGUGGCGGACGGGUGAGUAACGCGUGGGCAACCUGCCCCAUACAGGGGGAUAACAGUUAGAAAUGACUGCUAACACCGCAUAAGCGCACAGGGCCGCAUGGCCCGGUGUGAAAAACUCCGGUGGUAUGGGAUGGGCCCGCGUCUGAUUAGCCAGUUGGCGGGGUAACGGCCCACCAAAGCGACGAUCAGUAGCCGACCUGAGAGGGUGACCGGCCACAUUGGGACUGAGACACGGCCCAAACUCCUACGGGAGGCAGCAGUGGGGAAUAUUGCACAAUGGGGGGAACCCUGAUGCAGCGACGCCGCGUGAGCGAAGAAGUAUCUCGGUAUGUAAAGCUCUAUCAGCAGGGAAGAAAAAUGACGGUACCUGACUAAGAAGCCCCGGCUAACUACGUGCCAGCAGCCGCGGUAAUACGUAGGGGGCAAGCGUUAUCCGGAUUUACUGGGUGUAAAGGGAGCGCAGGCGGCGCGGCAAGUCUGAUGUGAAAGCCCGGGGCUCAACCCCGGGACUGCAUUGGAAACUGUCGCGCUCGAGUGUCGGAGAGGUAAGUGGAAUUCCUAGUGUAGCGGUGAAAUGCGUAGAUAUUAGGAGGAACACCAGUGGCGAAGGCGGCUUACUGGACGACAACUGACGCUGAGGCUCGAAAGCGUGGGGAGCAAACAGGAUUAGAUACCCUGGUAGUCCACGCCGUAAACGAUGAA
rnacentral:rRNA from 1 species